rnacentral:rRNA from 1 species
GACGAACGCUGGCGGCGUGCUUAACACAUGCAAGUCGAACGGAAAGGCCCUGCUUUUGUGGGGUGCUCGAGUGGCGAACGGGUGAGUAACACGUGAGUAACCUGCCCUUGACUUUGGGAUAACUUCAGGAAACUGGGGCUAAUACCGGAUAGGAGCUCCUGCUGCAUGGUGGGGGUUGGAAAGUUUCGGCGGUUGGGGAUGGACUCGCGGCUUAUCAGCUUGUUGGUGGGGUAGUGGCUUACCAAGGCUUUGACGGGUAGCCGGCCUGAGAGGGUGACCGGCCACAUUGGGACUGAGAUACGGCCCAGACUCCUACGGGAGGCAGCAGUGGGGAAUAUUGCACAAUGGGCGGAAGCCUGAUGCAGCAACGCCGCGUGCGGGAUGACGGCCUUCGGGUUGUAAACCGCUUUCGCCUGUGACGAAGCGUGAGUGACGGUAAUGGGUAAAGAAGCACCGGCUAACUACGUGCCAGCAGCCGCGGUGAUACGUAGGGUGCGAGCGUUGUCCGGAUUUAUUGGGCGUAAAGGGCUCGUAGGUGGUUGAUCGCGUCGGAAGUGUAAUCUUGGGGCUUAACCCUGAGCGUGCUUUCGAUACGGGUUGACUUGAGGAAGGUAGGGGAGAAUGGAAUUCCUGGUGGAGCGGUGGAAUGCGCAGAUAUCAGGAGGAACACCAGUGGCGAAGGCGGUUCUCUGGGCCUUUCCUGACGCUGAGGAGCGAAAGCGUGGGGAGCGAACAGGCUUAGAUACCCUGGUAGUCCACGCUGUAAACGGUGGGUACUAGGUGUGGGGUCCAUUCCACGGGUUCCGUGCCGUAGCUAACGCUUUAAGUACCCCGCCUGGGGAGUACGGCCGCAAGGCUAAAACUCAAAGGAAUUGACGGGGCCCCGCACAAGCGGCGGAGCAUGCGGAUUAAUUCGAUGCAACGCGUAGAACCUUACCUGGGUUUGACAUGGAUCGGGAGUGCCCAGAGAUGGGUGUGCCUCUUUUGGGGUCGGUUCACAGGUGGUGCAUGCCUGUCGUCAGCUCGUGUCGUGAGAUGUUGGGUUAAGUCCCGCAACGAGCGCAACCCUUGUUCACUGUUGCCAGCACGUUAUGGUGGGGACUCAGUGGAGACCGCCGGGGUCAACUCGGAGGAAGGUGGGGAUGACGUCAAGUCAUCAUGCCCCUUAUGUCCAGGGCUUCACGCAUGCUACAAUGGCUGGUACAGAGAGUGGCGAGCCUGUGAGGGUGAGCGAAUCUCGGAAAGCCGGUCUCAGUUCGGAUUGGGGUCUGCAACUCGACCUCAUGAAGUCGGAGUCGCUAGUAAUCGCAGAUCAGCAACGCUGCGGUGAAUACGUUCCCGGG